rnacentral:misc_RNA from 1 species
AAAGCUUCUCAACUGCUUUAUGCAGCUUGGAAAUGGGGGAUUGCAGGCUUUUGUUGUCUGCUCCCCUGAAAUGUAUUAGUGGUGUUUUGGCAAAACUGACCACAGGUGUGAUAACUAUCAAUACCUUGGCUGGUGUCUGCUGCUGCUGCUUUAACCCUAAAUGACCA